UUUUCUUUUUUUUUUUUUUUUUAACUUCCCAAUGCACCACUCACUUCAGUUCAUGUUUUGGUUUUCUAGAUGUGUAAAAAUACUGCCUGAAAAUGCUAAAAAUUUAGUUCCAUUCCAGGCUUUGCAGAAAGAAACAGGAUUUUAUACACUUGACUGGGUAUCUCUGAAACUCAUGUUUUAUUUGUUCAGAUUAAUUUAAAUUAUUUUCUGUCAUCUUCAUAUUGUGCUACCUCAUUGCUUUCUUGGCCUGGCAGAUCAUUAAUAAUCAUCUCUAGCAUAAUGAAUGUUAGAGUGCUGUAACAUCUGCUUCUAAGUUUUAACCACAUCAUUCCCUCGUAUUUUCUGUCUCUUGCUCAGUUCUUUAUAAGUUUGUCUUGUACCACCACAGUGCAACAUUUAUUCUGUGUGCCCUAUUUUGAUUUUAGCCAUAUUGCAGUUACUGCAUAACUUUGUCUCAUCUUCGUAACAUUUCUAGUGGCAGCAGCGUAGCUAUGGAAGUGCAGAGCUCUGGGAUGGCUCUAAACUCAGGUAUUUACAAGGUGUCUUAGCUGGGUUUUGCUGUGUUCUUCCACAACUGCCAAGGCAGCAGUAUUUCAGGCAGCUGGUAGAAAGCUGCCGUAGGCUUGAUUGUCUGCUGUGUGACUGGGACUUAGAGAUGAUGCCCCUUUCCCCAUCAUUUGGGGUCAUCCUUUGCAAAUACCUGAACAUUUGCUUACCCUCAAAAAGCAGAAAUAAUACGUUGAAUUAAAAAAAAAAAAGUUGAUAAAACACAUUUAAAUAUGACGUUUUUUACAUCAUAGUAUUUUUAAAAUCUAAUUCAGUGUCAGAAUUCAGCUACAAAAAAGGUGUAGAUUAAGCAGAUGAUACGAUGUAGUGUGUUUUCAUAUAAAACUUUCCCUGUCUAUAUUUAGGUAAUUACAUAUAAAAUCACUUUACUUAGACUGCAUUUUCAAAUGCAUUUGAAAACAAGAUUCUCAUCCAAAAAAAGAGGUACUCAACAGUAUUAUUCUAGAAAACUGGCUUAUUUUUACAUGUACUACAUCACAGACACAAUGCAAUACAAAACAAUGCUGCACUGAAAAGUGUAUAUACGUAUAAAACCUCUCCACUUGCAUUAUUAGUGCUUAGUCAAAAAUUCUAAUGAAAAAGUUUCAUUUUGGUGUAGAUCAACAAUUUAAUAAGUUACUUCUAUUCUAUUCAAGGCAUUAUCAUUAGAAAGGUAAUAAUGACAUUGCCAGUGUGUGCUAUUAUGACACCUCUUACAUGGCGCUGUCCUACACUGCAUGCAGCUCCUGAAGGCUUUUGUAAGUUGUCUGUAAAAGUUUACCAGUCCAGAUCAUUGCCAUUUUCAGCCACUUAGCAUUCAUUUUUUUUUAUUUGUGCAAAUAAGAUUGUGUUUUAGGCUGUGGAGAAUUACAUUCACUACACUUGCUUCUCCAGAUAGAUAAUAGAAUUUUCUAUUUUCUGAUUGUACAGUUCUUUGGAUCUUGCAAAUGCAACUUAUCGUUGCCAAGUAAUUGUUGCAACUUCAGAUGAUUUUUUAACCUAAAUAACAUGAUGCUCAUAAUGGAGCUACAGCAAUUUAAAAGAAGUCACAGUCUGACCUAAAGUUUUCUAUUGAAAGUGUAUAUUUUUUAUUUUACCCUCAGUAUGAACAGUGUAAAUAUAAGGAUUCUUAGCUUAUGAAGGAAUAGCAACGUGGGUACCUGCUCUUUUACAGUCUUCCAUGCCUUACAUGGGUCUUCUUUAGGCUUUCAAUCUCCUGAACUUGCUGCUUAUACCUUUGAAAGAAGCCAAGUGAGGCCCUAAGUCUCUGAUCUUGUCAAGGGAGAUAGAUAUGCACCUUCAGAGGGAAAUUCAAAACCUAAUGAGAUCGAGGAUCCGCCUCUCCUUUUUUCUCUCCCUCCUUUGCACACCAGAGUAGACAAUUCAAUAUUAUAAGUCACAGUAGUCUCUGAGAGGACUCACUGUCUCAGCAGGUGGCUUACUGGUAAUGAGACUUUUUUUUUUUUUUUUAAUUUAGCAUGGUCUCCCAUUUUGCAGAUAUCAAUUUAAAUGCAGAAUACCAUUUUGGGGUUUGCAUUUUCCCCUUUCUCUUUUAUGCUCAAUACUUGCUAAGAAUAUAUUUGCAUAUAUAUUUUACAAGAAUCAACAGCAGAAAAAAUAUAAUUAGAAGGAAUUUGAGUCUGUAUCUACAUCUCUAGCUGUAUGCUUUAUGUUCUGUCAGGCCUUUUGAAGGAAUGAUUUUCUUUCUUCUUUCUGUGUUCCCUUGGUGCAGUUUUUGCACGCUGAGAUGUACUUGUCUGUUAGAUGGGGAGCUGAAAGCAGCAAUGCGGCUGCAAGGAUUGGCAGAAGGGAGCUGCUGCAAGGCUCUGUGAUUAAGCGAAGCUGCUGCAACACACUGCAGUUGGAAAAGGGUGAGAUUCUUGGUGCUCAGCAGCAAACAAUGAGCAUGGCUGAUUUUAUCACUUUCAAAGUGACUGUAGAUUGUCUUGCUUCUUUAAUGUGCUAUAUAUAUCAUUACAUGAAAAUGACAUUUUUGUCUGUGUAUUAUCUUUCAUUUUUAUCUCUCAUUUUAAAAUACAUUUAUAAUAUCCCUAACAAUAUAGAUAAAACAAAAUGAACUUACUUUACUAAUAAAUGCAAUUUUUCUUCUUUAUGAAAUGUAGUUAUUUCUUGUGUGCGGAUCACCUUUGUUUGUGUCAAAUGAAAUAAAUUACAAUUCAGUCUUUUUAUUAAUGAGACCAGUUAUUAGUCUUCAAUUUCUUAGGUUCACAGAAUGAAAUGCAAAGAAAAUACCAUUUAUGUAACAUAAUCUCUGAUGUUGUAUAAUACAAUCACAACUGGGGAGUGUGUGCAAUGCCUAACUUUAGAGCCUACAUUUGAUAGGCUAAAUACUUAUCUGUUUGCUUGCAUUUUCUUUCAUGUCAAUGAAAAUACAGAGAAACUGUAAUAAGGUGAUUCAGGCUGGGAACCUGGCUAGCAAGAGGCAAGAAAAGACAUAUUUAAGUUCAGGCACCUAAAUGAAAUGUCUAAAGCUAAAUGGCAUGAGCCCAGGUUUCACUCCAGUAGGCUGCUUCCCACAGAAGCUGUUCCAGUUGUUCUUCUUAAGUGAGGCAUUUGCUCAAGCAGAAAUAAAAGGUUGACAUUCUGGACCUGAGAAAUGUAAGCUUCAAGUAAAUAAUGGGUGUUUAUAAGGAUAGGAAUGACAAAACUGAGACACAUUUCAUUUUCUACAAAUGUCCUAAAGAUAGCUUUCCUCUGCCAUUUAGCUCAAGGCAGAACUUUUACAUACACAGAAUAAUUCCUGUGAAGUCACGCUGGUCACAUGGCCUUGAGAUGUUCCAACAGGACUUUGCUUAUUUGAUCUAUGAUUGUUCUUAGCUAAAAUAUUAUAAUGAUGACAUGGAAAAAUUGGAACUCAGCUGUAGAUGUAAUAGCAAAUAAUGAGAUUAAAAAUAGAGGAAAAGGCCACAAAUUGCAGCUAGUUUAGAAGAUUUAUUACUAAUGGAAUUCUUACUUUAACCACCACACAUCAAAGCAAACAAGAUUCUACCUAACCUUUUUUGACACCAGAUUAUCUUACUCAGCUUUUCACUUCUGUCAUUAUUUUUAUUAUUCAUUUUUGUCAUACAGAUUUGUAUGAUUAAUAACACACUUCAAUGCUGUGACAUGAGUGCAUUUUCUACUAAAAAUGGUGGGAGGGGUAGAUAGAGAAUAAGAAGACUGUUUACUUGCUUUUGGACAAAAUGUACUCACAACUUGGUGGAUACAUAUAUGUAGUUGCCUUUGUGUACUUAAACUGCACUAUGAAACAUGAUGACUUCAUAUAAUAGUCUUUAUUUGAGAGGUAAUACUUUUUAAUAUGAUUUGGUUUGAGAGAACAGCAGUGAAUCAGCACUCUUGGACCAUAAUCACUAGAGCAGGAUGUACUGCUUAGAGCAGAGAUGCAUCUCAGAAAGUGGGCCACUGGACAUAAAAUCAGAACCAACAGAAAAGAAACAUCAAAGAAAAGAGAUACUAAACAAAACAUUGAAAACUUAUUUCAUAAUUCCAUUUGCAAUGAAAUCGCUCAUUUUCUAAUGCUAAGUCAUCUUUUCCUUCAUCUGUUAACCCCUAACAUAAAUGCAGUCAUCUGCCCACACGUUUCUAAUUGCCAACAUCCCUAUUUGUCAAAAUCCUGCUACUGCUUCUCUCCCCAAAAUACAUCACACAGCAUCUGGUCUCGUGCCUGAUAUCAGAGAGAUAGCUUGAGAAAGUCAUAUCAAAAGCAAAGCAGUUAAACAAUGUUUCUUUUACAAGAACCCCUCUCUUUGUAGUAGUUUCAAGUUUAGGAACACACUUUCUGAUCAGACACCUUAAGAGGUAACUAUAAACUACUUAGUAAUGAGUUUGUCAUUAUUAAGGAAUUUAUGUCUGUGAUUUCUGUAACUUCCUGUUGCAAUGAGUUUUACAUUUAACUAAGUUUUAGAUAUGGGGAAAAAAUAUUUACCCUUACGAUUAAUCUAGAACCCAUUUUUCACAUUCAGUGGUGAAAAAUGUACUACCACACUGAAAAACAGCUGUGCAAUAUCAGCAUAUUAAUUUGAAGUAAUGCCGAAAAUGCUAAUUUAUAACUAUUUAUUAAAAUACAUAAUAUAAAAAUAAUAUAUUAAUACUGAACUAACUAUACUGAUUCUUUUUUAUCUGAUUAAAAAAAAAAAAAAA
ensembl:lncRNA